rnacentral:rRNA from 1 species
GACGAACGCUGGCGGCGUGCUUAACACAUGCAAGUCGAACGGAAAGGCCCUGCUUUUGUGGGGUGCUCGAGUGGCGAACGGGUGAGUAACACGUGAGUAACCUGCCCUUGACUUUGGGAUAACUUCAGGAAACUGGGGCUAAUACCGGAUAGGAGCUCCUGCUGCAUGGUGGGGGUUGGAAAGUUUCGGCGGUUGGGGAUGGACUCGCGGCUUAUCAGCUUGUUGGUGGGGUAGUGGCUUACCAAGGCUUUGACGGGUAGCCGGCCUGAGAGGGUGACCGGCCACAUUGGGACUGAGAUACGGCCCAGACGCGUACGGGAGGCAGCAGUGGGGAAUAUUGCACAAUGGGCGGAAGUCUGAGGCAGCAACGCCGCGUGCGGGAUGACGGCCUUCGGGGUGUAAACCGCUUUCGCCUGUGACGAAGCGUGAGUGACGGUAAUGGGUAAAGAAGCACCGGCUAACUACGUG